rnacentral:tRNA from 1 species
GCGCUGGUCGUGUAAGGCGUAGCAUCGCUGCAAGGAAAGCAGAAGGUGCGGGUUCGAGUCCCGCCUGGCGCA